rnacentral:rRNA from 1 species
UAAGGAAUAUUGGUCAAUGCCCGGAAGGGUGAACCAGCCAUCCCGCGUGAAGGAUGAAGGGGCUCUGCCUUGUAAACUUCUUUUGAAUGGGACGAAAAAGCCUCACUUGUGAGGAACUGACGGUACCAUUAGAAUAAGCACCGGCUAACUCCGUGCCAGCAGCCGCGGUAAUACGUAGGGUGCGAGCGUUAAUCGGAAUUACUGGGCGUAAAGCGUGCGCAGGCGGCGACAUAAGACAGAUGUGAAAUCCCCGGGCUCAACCUGGGAACUGCGUUUGUGACUGUGUUGCUAGAGUGUAGCAGAGGGGGGUGGAAUUCCACGUGUAGCAGUGAAAUGCGUAGAGAUGUGGAGGAACACCGAUGGCGAAGGCAGCCCCCUGGGUUAACACUGACGCUCAUGCACGAAAGCGUGGGGAGCAAACAGGAUUAGAUACCCGGGUAGUCCCUGAGCGGGCUGGCAAGGCGCAU